AUUGAACGCUGGCGGCAUGCUUUACACAUGCAAGUCGAACGGUAACAGGGUGCUUGCACCGCUGACGAGUGGCGAACGGGUGAGUAAUGCGUCGGAACGUGCCGAGUAGUGGGGGAUAACGCAGCGAAAGUUGUGCUAAUACCGCAUACGUACUGAGGUAGAAAGUGGGGGACCUUCGGGCCUCACGCUAUUCGAGCGGCCGACGUCUGAUUAGCUAGAAGGUGAGGUAAAGGCUCACCUAGGCGACGAUCAGUAGCGGGUCUGAGAGGAUGAUCCGCCAAACUGGGCCUGAGACACGGCCCAGACUACUACGGGAGGCAGCAGUGGGGAAUUUUGGACAAUGGGCGAAAGCCUGAUCCAGCCAUGCCGCGUGUCUGAAGAAGGCCUUCGGGUUGUAAAGGACUUUUGUCAGGGAGGAAAUCCCUAGCGUUAAUACCGCUGGGGGAUGACAGUACCUGAAGAAUAAGCACCGGCUAACUACGUGCCAGCCGCCGCAGUAAUAC
rnacentral:rRNA from 1 species